rnacentral:rRNA from 1 species
UACGGAGGGAGCUAGCGUUGUUCGGAAUUACUGGGCGUAAAGCGCGCGUAGGCGGCUAUUCAAGUCAGAGGUGAAAGCCCGGGGCUCAACUUCGGAAUUGCCUUUGAAACGGGAUUGCUUGAGUCCGAGAGAGGAUGGCGGAAUUCCUAGUGUAGAGGUGAAAUUCGUAGAUAUUAGGAAGAACACCGGUGGCGAAGGCGGCCAUCUGGCUCGGUACUGACGCUCAGGCGCGAAAGCGUGGGGAGCAAACAGGG